rnacentral:rRNA from 1 species
GCGCGCAAAUUACCCAAUCCUGACACGGGGAGGUAGUGACAAUAAAUAACAAUACCGGGCGCGUUAGUGUCUGGUAAUUGGAAUGAGUACAAUCUAAAUCCCUCAACGAGGAUCCAUUGGAGGGCAAGUCUGGUGCUAG